GACGGAGGGGGCUAGCGUUGUUCGGAAUUACUGGGCGUAAAGCGCACGUAGGCGGCCUUUCAAGUCAGAUGUGAAAGCCCCGGGCUUAACUCGGGAACUGCAUUUGAUACUGUUGGGCUUGAGACCGGGAGAGGAUAGCGGAAUUCCCAGUGUAGAGGUGAAAUUCGUAGAUAUUGGGAAGAACACCAGCGGCGAAGGCGGCUAUCUGGACCGGUACUGACGCUGAGGUGCGAAAGCGUGGGGAGCAAACAGG
rnacentral:rRNA from 1 species